rnacentral:rRNA from 1 species
GUCGAGCGGAUGAAGGAGCUUGCUCCUGGAUUCAGCGGCGGACGGGUGAGUAAUGCCUAGGAAUCUGCCUGGUAGUGGGGGACAACGUUUCGAAAGGAACGCUAAUACCGCAUACGUCCUACGGGAGAAAGCAGGGGACCUUCGGGCCUUGCGCUAUCAGAUGAGCCUAGGUCGGAUUAGCUAGUUGGUGAGGUAAUGGCUCACCAAGGCGACGAUCCGUAACUGGUCUGAGAGGAUGAUCAGUCACACUGGAACUGAGACACGGUCCAGACUCCUACGGGAGGCAGCAGUGGGGAAUAUUGGACAAUGGGCGAAAGCCUGAUCCAGCCAUGCCGCGUGUGUGAAGAAGGUCUUCGGAUUGUAAAGCACUUUAAGUUGGGAGGAAGGGCAGUAAAUUAAUACUUUGCUGUUUUGACGUUACCGACAGAAUAAGCACCGGCUAACUCUGUGCCAGCAUCCGCGGUAAUACAGAGGGUGCAAGCGUUAAUCGGAAUUACUGGGCGUAAAGCGCGCGUACGUGGUUUGUUAAG